rnacentral:rRNA from 1 species
AGGCUUAACACAUGCAAGUCGAGGGGCACCGGGCAGCAAUGCCUGGGAGACCGGCAGACGGGUGCGUAACGCGUAUGCAACCUGCCUUAUGCAGGGGGAUAGCCCAUGGAAACGUGGAUUAAUACCCCAUAUUCUAUAUAGCCCGCAUGGAUUGUAUAGGAAAACUGAGGUGGCAUAAGAUGGGCAUGCGUCUGAUUAGCUAGAUGGCAGGGUAACGGCCUACCAUGGCGACGAUCAGUAGGGGUCCUGAGAGGGUUACCCCCCACACUGGCACUGAGACACGGGCCAGACUCCUACGGGAGGCAGCAGUGAGGAAUAUUGGGCAAUGGGCGGAAGCCUGACCCAGCCAUCCCGCGUGCAGGACGAAGGCCCUAUGGGUUGUAAACUGCUUUUCCUGGGGGAGAAACCCCCGCACGAGUGCGGGGCUGACGGUACCCAGGGAAUAAGCAUCGGCUAACUCCGUGCCAGCAGCCGCGGUAAUACGGAGGAUGCAAGCGUUAUCCGGAUUUAUUGGGUUUAAAGGGUGCGCAGGCGGGCCAAUAAGUCAGUGGUGAAAUCCUGCCGCUUAACGGUAGGACUGCCAUUGAUACUGUUGCGCCUUGAGUAUGGUUGAGGUAGGCGGAAUGUGCAGUGUAGCGGUGAAAUACAUAGAUAUU